AGCUUUGCACAGAGGCGGUACCAUAGCCAAUGAGGGUCAUCCGAGCCGUGGUUUUUGCAAUUUGAAAACUAUAAGACUUUAGUAGCAGUAUGAUGUCAUAGUUGUGUAGGUUGUCUUUUGUUUAUAAAUGUAUUAUACU
rnacentral:snRNA from 1 species